rnacentral:rRNA from 1 species
GACGAACCGUCCUAACGUUGUUCGGAAUCACUGGGCUUAAAGGGCGCGUAGGCGGGCUCUCAAGUCCGGGGUGAAAUCUUUCGGCUCAACCGGAAAAUAGCCUUGGAUACUGGGAGUCUCGAGCGAGGUAGGGGCGGGUGGAACUUCCGGUGGAGCGGUGAAAUGCGUAGAGAUCAGGAAGAACAUCGGUGGCGAAGGCGCUCUGCUGGACCAUAACUGACACUCAGGGACGAAAGCUAGGGGAGCGAAUGGG